rnacentral:tRNA from 5 species
GCCGUUGUAGCUCAGAUGGUAGAGCGCGUCCUUGGUAAGGACGAGGUCACCGGUUCAAUCCCGGUCAACGGCUCCA